AUGGCCUCGAUAUGCAUCCAAAACUAAAUGACUCUAGUUUUUCGUUCUUUAUGGUUGAGUAGUACUCCAUUUUAUAAAAACACCACAUCUUCUUUAUCCAGUUUCCAGUUGAUGGGCACUUGGGCCACUCAUGUUCCUCUUGAUUAUAGGCUAGCCAGUUAAGCAACUGGUCAGGCUGGAAGUCUGGCAAUAGUGAUACAUAAGGAUUAAUCCCCAGAAGUGGCUGAGCGUUAGCAGGAACACAGCACAGGAGUAGCUGAUGGAAAUCUUGGAAAAGCAGAAUUUCUGGAAACCCAGAGUCUCCCUGGACCAGCCAACAAGAUUCCAUGCCCUCUGCCAUGACCCUCCCUAAUCCAUUUUGCUCAAUUUCCUUUGGGUCCUUUUUUAUGGCCACAAGUUGUCUUAGGACUGCUCUUCUUGCCUUAGACUGUUUCUGGUCAUUUUCCCCAAACUUCUUGUUUGCUCGGGGCUUGGUCCUUCCCAAGCUCAAGGUUACCUUCCGUCUCCCAACGUGCCUCCUCUGUGCCAUGAAUAUGGAGAAACAAGCUCUGUUGGGACCCCACUCACCCUCAUCCAGUGCAUUUCAUUCACCCUUUCAGUGCCUCACUCCCGCCAUGGCUCCCCGGAGCAAUGACAUCCACUCCUGAAGAAUCCGUGGCCCACUUAGGAGGCAGAGUGUCCAGUCUUGUCUGCCCAGGCACCCUGUGCAACCACCUACUCCUGGGCCUGGCCCUUUCCCAUUUUGUUUCUUUUCAUUUUUCUCUUCCCAGGCUAGAGGAUUUUUUUCCCCUCCCAGAAUAACUAAAUUCCUUUGGCUUCUUGUUUGUGGAAGGUAUUCUUGCUGUUAUCACAGAUCUUCUCUCCUUUACUUUUUCCUUUAUGGGAUUAAUAUCCUUUAAGGAUUCAGGCUUUUGAGGAAAAUAAAAACCAAGGAAAAUGUUAGGCUAUUUCUGCUUUACUCCCAGUCACACCCUACUCUUGUUUAAGUUGGGGCCGGGGGGUGCCGUGCAGAAGGUGAACUGUGAGGAAAAGAAAAAAAACUGAAGGAGAAAAAAUUGUCAUACCGUGCAAUACUAUACAGCCAGCUGCACUCAUAAUGGGCAGUCAAAUUCUGCGGUCUAUUCAAAGUUAUUUCCUAUAGUCCUUCCUAAUCGGCCUUGAGAUAGGGGAGGAAAAGAAGACGGG
ensembl:lncRNA